rnacentral:rRNA from 1 species
AGAUUGAACGCUGGCGGCAUGCCUUACACAUGCAAGUCGAACGGCAGCACGGGAGCAAUCCUGGCGGCGAGUGGCGAACGGGUGAGUAAUACAUCGGAACGUGCCCAAUCGUGGGGGAUAACGCAGCGAAAGCUGUGCUAAUACCGCAUAAGAUCUACGGAUGAAAGCAGGGGAUCGCAAGACCUUGCGCGAAUGGAGCGGCCGAUGGCAGAUUAGGUAGUUGGUGAGGUAAAGGCUCACCAAGCCUUCGAUCUGUAGCUGGUCUGAGAGGACGACCAGCCACACUGGGACUGAGACACGGCCCAGACUCUACGGAGGCAGCAGUGGGAAUUUGGACAAGUGGGCGAAAGCCUGAUCCAGCCAUGCCGCGUGCAGGAUGAAGGCCGUUCGGUUAGUAAACGUUCGUCGUUUUAGGUAACGGAACGUAAAACGUCGUUACUUUACUAAAGUAAAGAGGUAUACAGUAGUACGUACGUAAGAAUAAGACGACGACUAACGUACGUACG